rnacentral:rRNA from 1 species
CACGUAGGUGGCCAGAGAUAUCCGGAAGAAUUGGGCGUAAAGCGCGCGCAGGCGGUUUCUUAAGUAUGAUGUGAAAGCCCCCGGCGCAACCCAGGAGGGUCAUUGGAAACUGGGAAACUUGAGUGCAGAAGAGGAAAGCGGAAUUCCACGUGUAGCGGUGAAAUGCGUAGAUAUGUGGAGGAACACCAGUGGCGAAGGCGGCUUUCUGGGCUUUUAGUCACGCCGAGGCGCGAAAGCGUGGGGAGCAAACUGG